rnacentral:rRNA from 1 species
UACAGAGGGUGCAAGCGUUAAUCGGAAUUACUGGGCGUAAAGCGUGCGUAGACGGUAGCGUAAGUCGGGUGUGAAAGCCCCGGGCUCAACCUGGGAAUUGCAUUUGAGACUGCGUAGCUAGGGUGCGGAAGAGGGAAGCGGAAUUUCCGGUGUAGCGGUGAAAUGCGUAGAUAUCGGAAGGAACACCAGUGGCGAAAGCGGCUUCCUGGUCCAGCACCGACGUCAGGCACGAAAGCGUGGGGAGCAAACAGG